rnacentral:lncRNA from 1 species
CCGCUUGAGUGGAAUUCAUUAGAAAUUAACUACCACUUAAAUUAAUUUUCCCACAGUCACAAGGCUGUAAUGGCGGGAGAAGGGGCCGUCCAUCAGUGGGUGCUGACAGGGGACCUGUCACCGCCGUUAUUUAUAGGUGCGUGUGUCAACCCCUAGAGCAGGCGCCGGGCCAAACUCAGAGCCUCCGGACUGACAAAGCCACUUCAAAGGCCCGAAAAUUCCCGUGUGGAUAAGUAAUCCAGCCUUGCCGAGCCUGGCCCUUCCAGGGCCCGGAGGAGGGGCAACCUGGGCGAUGCUGACAGACCAGAGGGACCCGUCUUUGUUUCAAACCCACACUGGGACACACAAGUCCUUGCAAGCUGGAAUCUCUGGGUACAGGGCCCUCUCCAGGGGAAAAGCUUGCAAGGAACAAGUGGAUCUCAUGUGGAAAGGCAGAGCAUGUGUGGACAGUGAAAGCACAAAAAAGGCUGCAGCAUUUCUGGGGCUUCUGCUUCUAUGGUUGAGCGCAUAUUUGAUUCGGAACCGGUGGGCCAUGAUCAACGGAAAGGGCUGAGAGAAAGGCCCCUGCAGGCCAGGAGGGGCAGGUACCAGGUGGGAAGAUCUCAUGGCAGGUAGAACCAGGAGGUCAGGAGC